UUCAGGAUUAAUGUUACCAAGAAAAAUCCAUCUGAGAAAGUUUCUGCUUAGUCUUAGCUCACAAGCAUCAAAGAAAAUACAUGCACAAAGGUUUCCACAACAGCUAGUCAAAGAGGCUUUCAACU